UGGGGAAUCUUGCGCAAUGGGCGAAAGCCUGACGCAGCGACGCCGCGGGGGGGAAGAAGGCCUUCGGGUUGUAAACCUCUUUCAGGUGGGACGAAGCCACUCGGGUGAAUAGCCCAGAGGGUGACGGUACCUCCAGAAGAAGCCCCGGCUAACUCCGUGCCAGCAGCCGCGGGAAUACGUAGGGGGCAAGCGUUGUCCGGAUUUAUUGGGCGUAAAGAGCGUGUAGGCGGCCUGGUAGGUCGGUUGUGAAAACUGGAGGCUUAACCUUCAGACGGCGACCGAAACCCCCAGGCUAGAGUCCGGAAGAGGAGAGUGGAAUUCCUGGUGUAGCGGUGAAAUGCGCAGAUAUCAGGAAGAACACCCGUGGCGAAGGCGGCUCUCUGGGACGGUACUGACGCUGAGACGCGAAAGCGUGGGGAGCGAA
rnacentral:rRNA from 1 species